UCUCGGUUAGCUUAGUUGGUAGAGCGCUUUAGUGGAAAUGAAGAAGUCCCUGGUUUGAUACCAGGACCAAGCG
rnacentral:tRNA from 1 species